rnacentral:rRNA from 1 species
GAUUAACGCUAGCGGCAGGCCUAAUACAUGCAAGUCGAACGGUAACAGGUGUAGCAAUACAUGCUGACGAGUGGCGCACGGGUGCGUAACGCGUAUGCAACCUACCUAUAACUGGGGAAUAGCCUUCUGAAAGGAAGAUUAACACCGCAUAACAUCACGAAACGGCAUCGUUUUGUGAUCAAAUCUCCGGAGGUUAUAGAUGGGCAUGCGUGACAUUAGCUAGUUGGUGAGGUAACGGCUCACCAAGGCUACGAUGUCUAGGGGGGCUGAGAGGAUGAUCCCCCACACUGGUACUGAGACACGGACCAGACUCCUACGGGAGGCAGCAGUGGGGAAUUUUGGACAAUGGGCGCAAGCCUGAUGCAGCCAUGCCGCGUGUAUGAAGAAGGCCUUCGGGUUGUAAAGUACUUUCAGCGGGGAGGAAGGGAGUAAGGUUAAUAACCUUAUUCAUUGACGUUACCCGCAGAAGAAGCACCGGCUAACUCCGUGCCAGCCGCCGCAGUAACAC